GUCAACUGGCUGUUGGCGAGAAGGACAAAGGCCAGUGCUAUGAACACCUGUCUCAUCAGCAGGACCACUCUGAAGGGAAGGGCCUCCAGGCACCUCAGUCCCAUGAUUCUCCAUGCCUCAUUCUUCAUCCACGCUGCUAGUAAUGUACCAUCACUGGCACAGUUACACCUGAACACUCUGGUGCUGCCAAACACCUGGCUUGAUUUUCCACUGUCCAAAUGAAAAAUAAGCAUAAUCUGCUUUUUUGAGGAUACAGCAAAUGAGGGAGUUUGUGACAAAUUGUGUUAGUUUAUGCAGAAUAGUGAUAAUAAGAUACAAAUGAGGAUUUUCAUUGUUGUUGCUUAAUGAAUAAUACUAAUCACAUUUUCAAUAAAUGCGGUGCCCUUCUCAUUAGAGAGAAUGCAUAAA